GACGAACGCUGGCGGCACGCUUAACACAUGCAAGUCGAGCGAUGACACCUUGACAGAUCGCUCAGGGGUGCGGAAAACGUGGGAUAGUGGCGGUCGGGUCGGUAUAACGUGAGGAACCGGGUUUAGACAUUGGGAAAGCUCCGGGAAACAAGGAUUAAUAGCAAAUAAAAUCAUCAUGACAGAUGUAGUAACGUUGAAAGCUCUGUUGCUUUUAGAUGGACUCGCGUUAGAUUAGCUAGUUGGUAGGGUAAAAGCCUACCAAGGCGACGAUCGAUAGCUGGUCUGAGAGGAUGAUCAGCCACACUGGGACUGAGACACGGCCCAGACUCCUACGGGAGGCAGCAGUGGGGAAUAUUGGACAAUGGGCGAAAGCCUGAUCCAGCAAUGCCGCGUGAGUGAUGAAGGCCUUAGGGUUGUAAAGCUCUUUUACCCGGGAUGAUAAUGACAGUACCGGGAGAAUAAGCUCCGGCUAACUCCGUG
rnacentral:rRNA from 1 species